rnacentral:tRNA from 1 species
GUUUUAAUAGUUUAAUUAAAAAUAAUGGUCUUGUAAACCAUAGAUAGAAAUGAUCUUUAAAACU